UUGUGCUGUUCAGGUGAGUGCUGACAGUAAGCUAGAAGACAAAGCUUAUCCUACACAGCUCUACCCAAGCCUGGUAAGAGGUAAAGGAAAUAGGCAGCAGAGGAGGUGGCAAUAGGCAAAACCAAGACGCUGGGGGGUAAAACUGUUGAACAGGACUAGCCAGUCCCAGAAAGAGCUCUUGAGGGGUUUUAACUACAAGGGGUUUGACCUUAGGGGUUUCUGCUCUACCACCUAAGUACUAGUUUCAACUGAAGCCAAAUUAACAUGAACUAAUGGCCAAAAGAGAAAUCGCAUAAUGUCUGCAAGAAAAAUGGCAUGGAGAAAAAAAAAAAAAGAGAGACUGUGAAUCAAAGAGAAGGAAUCCAGCAGAAGGUGACCUCAGGUGGUCUGCUGAGGAAAAGAGGCUGAGCCCAUGUUCCCCUUUGGGAGCUCUUAAUUAUCAGUUUCUGUUUUCCUUCAGGACUGGAUGGUGACUUGGUUCUGUCUGGCAGGGACUGCUCUGCAACUGUGGGAGGUAAACAGUAUUGUGAGGACACCUGAGAGAUCCUUGGAAAGGAGCCACUGGGCGAGUAACUGAAGCUUCCUGUUAACAGGCAGUACUUAGGGGCCAUGCAAAUGGGUGAGAGUGGGUUCUCUAGCCCAGUCUAACCUCCUGAUGACUGCAGCUCUAGACAACAUCUGCUAGAGAGAACUGGCCAGCCAAGCUGCUCUUGAAUCCUGGUCCACAGAAACCAUGAGAUAAUAAAUGAUCCUUGUUAUUUUAAGCCAUUAAGUUUUGGGAUUAUUUGUAAUGCAGCAUCAAGUAACUUGAUACAGCUGAGGUGGACAGCAAUGGUUGAAGAAGCCAAUGACUAUUACACACCUACUGUCUUCUAGCCGAGGAUCAUCUUUGGGAAUCUUCUUCAAGCCUCACAAGAGCUCUGCAAAGUGUAUGUUAUCAUCACUAUUUCAUCGAGGGUCUGGGGUUAAGGAGAUUGCUGAAGUCUUAAAUCUAUGUGAUUUCUACUGUAUCACUGGAUCCCUACUGUAGAAUGCCCUCAUUCAGGACUGGUAUUGUGUACACAGUUAAUUACUUGCUAUUGCUUAGCAGCAAUGAAAGUGAGCUAAAACGUGUCUCGUACUUACCUUAGAAUUCUACUUUGGAAAGUCACUCUUUUGCACUCAACAAUUUUUUUUUUCCUCUCCUAUAUAUCUUUCUUUUUCCGUGUGUGUGCAUUUUAGUUGCAUUUUAGUGUUUUCAAAGAAAAAUGACUUAUUAUUCACCAUGCAUCUGUGACUUGGCUGGGCUCAGCUGGGUGAUCUGGGUUGCAUAUUAGGCUGCAUUCAACCAGGAGCUCAGCUGAGGCUCAACUGUUCAAGACGGCUUCACUCUUAUAUCUGGGCUUUGGUAUAGUUAUGGGCGGAACCUCUCUUUCCACAUGGUCCUGCAUCAUUCAAUGAUUUACCUACAUUCUGCUGCAAUUGGCUUCCAAAAGAGUUCUCAUAUUUCAUUAUUUUUUAAAGCAAUAUGUCAUGCAAAAUUCAACUGAAAAGAUAUACAGUGAAAAUAUCCCUGUCACCAGACCUUUCUGUUUCUUUUC